ACCUGAGAGCGCGUCCUACUCUGCAGUCGAGCGCCACGCUGGGCUUAGCGGCAGACGGAUGAGUAACACGUGUGAAUCUACCCUUUUCUCCGGAAUAACGCAAGGAAACUUGUGCUAAUACCGUAUAAGCCCUUCGGGGGAAAGAUUUAUCGGGAAAGGAUGAGCCCGCGUUGGAUUAGCUUCUUGGUGGUGUAAAGGCCUCCCAAGGCCAUUAUCCAUAGCUGGUCUGAGAGGAUGAUCAGCCACACUGUGACUGAGACACCUGCCAGACUCCUACGGGAGGCUGCAGUGGGGAAUAUUGGACAACGGCCGCAAGCCUGAUCCAUCCAUGCCCUUCGACUGAGGAAGGCCCUAUGGUUGUAAAGCUCUUUCACCGGUGAAGAUAAUGACGGUAACCGGAGAUCAAGCCCCGGGUAAGUUCGUGCCGGAGGCCGCGGGAAUACAAAGGGGCCUAGCCUUGUUCGAAAUUACUGGCUGUAUAGCGCACGUAGGCGGACAUUUAAGUCAGGGGUGAAAUCCCGUACCUCAUCUCUGGAACUGCCUUUGAUACUGGGUGCCUAGAGUAUGGGAUAUGUGAGGGGGAUUCUCAGUGCAGAGUCGCACUGCAUACAUAUUCGGUUGAACGCCAAUGACGAAAGCGGCUCUCUGGUCCAUUACUGACGCUGAGGUGCGAUAUCGUGGAGACCAGCAGGAUUAGAUACCCUGUUAGCUCACACUGUCGAUGAUGAGCGUUAGCCGUCGGACAGAUUACUGUUAGAUGGCGCGGCUAACCCAUUAAAAAUCCUGCCUGGCGAGUACUGUCGCGUGAUUAUAACUUCAGAGGCCUUAGCUGGCGCCCUCACCAUUCGGUGCUGCGUGUGUUGUAAUUCAAAGUAACACGCAAAGCAUUGCAGCCCUUGUCCUCCCGAUCGGGGAUU
rnacentral:rRNA from 1 species